UUAAGUUCAGCGGGUAUUCCUACCUGAUCCGAGGUCAACCUUGAUAUGGGGGGGUUUUUACGGCCGGUCACCCGUCGCGUGCCCUGAGCGUGGUAAAUUUACUGCACUCGGUACGACGACGAGCCCGCCACUGGGUUUGGGAGCCUGCGGCAGCCGCAGGGCUCCAACACAAGCGCAGGCGCUUGAUGGUUGAAAUGACG
rnacentral:misc_RNA from 1 species